ensembl:lncRNA novel transcript
ACACUCAUGUUCGGCAGCAAGCACGGACAGUCCUGCCCGGAGGCAGGGGGAUGGCCCACAUGGCCCUGGUCUUCCAGAGAAGCCCAGCGUCUGGCCUCUUCCCCUCAGCGCUGGUCACAUUCUCCCCACCUUCCCCUCCAAGCAGCCCACCUGGGGUAGGUGCUGAGUCCCCUGCUGCUGCCUCCCCCGGGUGAAAGCAGAGUAAACAGUCCCCCUCUCCCCCGCCUCCCUGGGGAGGGCUGGAGGAAAGAAAGGGAAGUGACAAAAGCUGCCCUAUCCCUGUCCUUCCUCACUGCUGGGUCUAGGACACUUAUUCUGGGGAAAGUGGCGUCUGAGGAUGUGGCUGCAGUGGCCAGUUGCUGGCGCCAGCAGAAAUCCCCAAGCCCGUCAGUAGACUCUGUUCAGACGCGUUCGCUGACCAUGGCACUGAGUAAGUGCUGAGGAGACACCUGAGGACCCAGGUCACGCCCCUGCCUGCCCUCUCCUCCCAGACAGGCCCCUCCUAGGGCUCAGACCAUUCCAGUUCCUCUUGUCAGACCCUGAGAAGGCCCAGGGCAUCCACCCCUACAGGGAAGGCUCAACAGGAAAGAAAGAAACACACAGGAACUGGGCUCAGAGCCCAGCUGCGUGCUCUUGGGCAAGUUACUUAACCUCUUUAGGCCUCAAUUUCUCAACUAUAAAAUGGGACUAAGACUAGCUGCCUGUUGAGCUGUUGUGAGAUAAGUGAGUGCACUGGCCUGGAUCUGCAGACGGUGGACAACAGCCAACGGCAGCCGGAUGUGGCAUUGUGCUGCUGCCUUUAGCAGCUCCAGGCAGUAACUACUGAGUAUCAGGGAAGAACUGAGACCUCAGAGAAGGGAGAGAACCAGGAUUGCUUGAGGCAGGGCGUUGGGAAGGCCCCACUUACCCUCUGGCAGUUGCAAUCUAAAAGGAACAAAGAGGCUUUGUGGCAGAUCCUGUCUCCUAAUAUCCAUUCCUCGUUUAUUUCCCAACUUUUAGCCAGACCCCCAUGGAAUAAAGACUAGACUACCUAGCUUCCCUUGCAGCUAGGUAUGGCUAGAUGACUGAGUUCUGGCCAAUGGAAUAUAAGUGUGACUUCUAGGAAGCUUCCUUGAAGGGAAGGGGCAUGUCCUUCUUCAGGCUUUCUUCUUCCUUCCUGCUGGCUGGGGCUCCAGCAGCCAUCUUGGGCAAUGAGGUGACCCUGGAAAUGGAAACCACACCUAGCAGGUCAGAAAGAUAGAAGGAGUCUCUGACCACAUCCCAGAAAUAUUUUACAUGAGCAAAAAAUUCACUAUUUAUCUUGUGUAAACCAAAAUUUAACUGAUACAAGCUUCUCCUCUGGUGAAAUAAUCUCGACUCAUGUGUGGCUGGGCAGAGUAGGAUGGAUGAGGUGUCUAGAAGAGAAGAGUUACCAGGGGUGUGAUGUCCCCAUCCAGGAGCACUUCCUCCUACUUGCCCUGUGAGGUCAGGAGGAACCCUGUUGGGAGGACUUGGCUCCAGGAGGAUGGAUGGAUGGAUGGAUGGAUGGAUGGAUGGAUGGAUGGAUGGAUAGAUAGAUGGAUGGAAAGGAGGGAAGAGCCCAGGUAAAUGCAUGAGAUGAGGAGAAAUACCUAGAAGGAGGAAAUACCCUGGGAAAACACUUCAGAUGACAGAGAGCCAGGCUAGGGGUGUGGGGAUAGCAGAACAGGAUGGCCUACCUGACUCACUGCCCAAGUCGGACUCUCAGUUUUCCCACCUGUGCUUUGGGAAUGGGCCUUAUCGCCUCACUCAGGGCCAGCGUGAAGUGAUUCAAAAACCAAACCAAAACUAAACAGAGAAUCAGUGUAGCAUUAAAUCCGUUGUCAGCCCAGACAAAACCCUUCUCUGUGCCUGGGAUUCCUAUAAAGUAAGGAUACCCGUGGACCCCACCUCACCUGGCUGUUGUGAGUAUUCAGCGAAAGGGCUACUGUAAUGUGCUCAUCACAGUGUCUGGCACAAGGCAAGUGCUCAGUAAGCAGUCAGUGCUAUUAUUGCUGCUGUUGAAAUCCUGCCCUGGGGUGUGAGGAACAAGAAGCUGCCACUUGAUUGGUCUGUGGCAUGAGUUAGGGAAAGAAACCUGGACUCCUCACUCCAGAAUAAUAUCUCCAGCGCUUUGGGGACCUAAAGGACCAGGUAAUGCCUUGGGAGCACCACACCAUAAACACACAUCAGGAUCCUGACGGCAUAAGAUGGAAUGGGGGUAGUAGGGAGACCUGGCAGGGUGGGGGCAGCCAAGGCUUAAAUUUUGGUACCACUGCCUGGGACCCCUGGAGGGACAGCUGUCAGGUCAGGCCCUGACCCCCAAGCUCUCCUCCUUGGCCAGGCCAGGUCCACAUUUGGUCACAAGAAGCUGGCAAGAGGCCAGACAGGGCCGCAGAUGCCAUGGAGAGGGCAAACACAGGCCCGACGGAAAGGGGGAAAAAAUCGGGCUUGUUCUGCCUGGGCAAGAGCAGGCUCAGGGGUGACAUCAACGCCAUGAUAAGCAGUUAGAUGAGUUAAUGCCCAGGGAUGCUUUUCCUGAAGUUCCCCAGAGAAAGUUGGGGGUUAAAUGAUGAGUGUGUUGGCAGAUUUGUACCCUCAAAAAAUUACGAGUGUGACCACUGUUAACAAUGAGCAGGGACUUUAAGAGGAGAACUAAGGAGCUGUCAUUUCUCUCUGGAGAAGUGAAGGAGAAGAAAUGAUCUUACAUUAAAGUAAACACGAUUCCGGAUGACCUAAGGGAGAAUUCUGACUGCCCAUGACAUGAGCUCUCUGUGUGCAAGGAGCUGUGGACUGAGUCCAGAACUGAAUAGGGCACACAGCUUCAGUGGCCUGUCCUGAAACCCCAGCACAGCCUCCAAGUUCUGGGCUUCUGUUCCCACCUGUGUUAAAUCAGACAAGGUAACGAUUAUGGAUAGGGAUUUAGGAAUCAUACAGAGAUCAGUUUGAAGGCACUUUGGACAAGUUACCUAACUUCUCUGUCCUUUGUUUCUUCCUCUGUUUGGAAGAAAAAAAAAAAACAGAACUGGGUGCAGAGGGUUGCUGGGAAGAUUAAUUCAGUGGAUGCCAGCUUAGAGCCUGGCACCCAGGACGAGCUCCAUAAAUAUUCUCCAGUGGGGCUAUUUUUCUCCUGUCUGGGCAGGGAUUGGACAGUAUCUCUUGAGUUCUUUUCAAGUCUAGAAUGCCUUGAUUCCACAAUCCUGUGACUCACUGAUUCUGCUUCUGGGGUCUGAGGACUGGGAUGAGUUGGUUGCACAGCUCUGCCCUGCAGGGCCCAGGCCCAGCACCUGGACAUAGCCCAGCCUAUAGUCUGCACCAUUUUAUUUCUACCAGUGGACUUUGCCUUGCCCAUCAUGUGCCCUCAGCCUCAUGGGCAGCCUUGUGGCCACAGGUGGCCCUGCCAGCUGUCCCUGACCUCUGCUCUGCACCUUCACCUGGAGCAGGGCAGUGCAAGCCCCUCCGGCUAACUCCUUCCUCACACCUACAUUCCCCUGACAAUGUCACAUGCUGUGCAAGUUGGCAGGGCCAGAGGGGCCACAGAUGCCAACAAAAACACCAUUCCUGUGGAGGGAGAAGAGCCCAUGGGUGUUAUUUUUAACCUGCUGAUUAGAGGCCACAGCUCUGCCCCUGGGGGUCCUGGGACUAAGGGCUCUGAGGGGCAUGUGAGUUGUCAGGCCUCACCUCAAUGACUCCCAAGGGUAUUGGGCUGCAGAAACCCCAGCCCUUCUACCACUUUGAUGGAGAAGUGGGAAAGGGAGACACAGAUCAAGACAUGCCCCAUCUUGCCCACUGGUUUCAACUGGGGCUGAACCCAGCCAGGAAGAGCAAAUGUGCCACGAAUCACAGAACAUUAAACCUAGAGAUGGGUCCUCUCCAGUCCCUGCGUUAUACAGAUAAGGAAACUGAGACCUGAGGGAGGAGGCCCAAAGUCACACUGCUGGUCAACACUAGCUUCCUACCCCCUUGCCCACCUGUUGUAGACCUGGAGUUUGACAAGGACAUUUCUAUAACUCUCCAAGGCCACAUCCUGGGGGUCACCUUGCUCCACCCUCUGUCCAGGUGACCCAUCUUGCCUCUGCCCUCUCCCCAGUCUGCCCUACCCCAAUGGGCUGAGCUUCUGACAACCCCAUGAUGAGGGCUCCAGGCCCUGGCUCACCCUGCAAGGACUUCCUAAGUGCCCAAGCAGUGCCCCCUAGAGGCCAGUGGCAGCACUGAUCAGCACAGCGGGCAGCGCCAUCAUGGCUGGAGGCCCAGGCGAAGACGUGCAGGCCAGGGCGUGCCUGUGUGGGGGGAACAGGACCGAGCUUCUGCCAAGGGCCCGCUGCCGGCUGUUGCUGAGCUUGUGCUCGCCAGAGGGGUGGGGGCGGCAGGCAGACAAUGGACCCCACGGCCCAGCCUCCUGGCCUUGGCCCCUUGAGCUGGGCAGGCAGCCGCUGGCCAAAGCAGCCGCCUCCAUUGGUCCCUCACGUAGCCCACGUCCUGCCUGCUGGGUGGCCCUUAUCACCGGGUACGUGCCAGAGUUCCACAUGCCCACACUCCACAGUGGGGAGGGGACUGUGGGCCCAGGAGGAAUGGGACCAGUGGGAAGUUAGGCUUCCUGUUUCCCUGCAUCCCAUUCCCAAGGAGGGGCUUGAGCAGGUCCUGAGUACCCCUUGAUGAGUCUCUCGUUCUCAGAGAGAUCUUAGCCGCAUCUCGCCAAGUCCCAACUCUCAACAACUGUUCUCCCCUUGGAAUGAAGGGGUUGGGUGGAAGAGAAGAAAGAAAGAGGCCAACAGCUUCAUUUGAAUGUUCUAGGUCACCAGUUCACAAAUACCAACUGUUCCUCUUAACAAGCUUAUACAAGAAGUAGUACUAUACUAUGCUUAUUACUGUCUGGGGAAACAGGCACAGAGAGGUUGAGUGACUUACCCACAACCAUACAGCUGGUAGGGACAGAGUCAGGAUUCAAAUCCGAGCAGACCGACUCCACAGCUAAACCACUCCUCAACAAAGCAGGGUCGUGACUGGCUGGUGCUCAGCCCUCUACCCCACAGAAAUGAUGGCUUUGGGGUCAGACAGACAUGGGCUCAGGCCUGGAAAUGCAUGCUCUAGGGCCAGUGAAGGCCCUCUCUGGGCCAAUGUUUCCUUACCUGUGAAAUGGGUGCAGUGAUGCAGUGAGGAAGGUACAGCCACAUGUGCCUCACUGGUGGAAGCUGCUGCACAAAUCCUCCUCCCCUUCACCCAGCAGAGCUCAAAGCCUCCUUUGACUGAAUAAUUAGAAUGUCUUCUGCCUCGCCGCCUGAAGCCCACCAUCCCAGCCUCCACUUCCUCUGUCCAAACCUACAGAGCGGCUCCAUUCCCUGGCACUUGAGGUCUGCUGCAAGCCCCUAGCAUGCCCGGCCAGGUAGCCCCGGCACGCUUGCUCAGCCCACGCACUGUUUAACCUUCCACAGGCACUGGGUUCUCCCUGUCUUCCCCCCGAGGAAGACCGUGAGUGCCCGCUGUGGGGCCAGGGGAGGAUGGGGCCGGAUGAGCCCCUGCCUCCCUGGUAUGUGCACACAUGUACAGUCAGGCCUUAUUCAAGGAGCUUGGACCCUGGGCCCAGUCUCAGUUGGCUACCAGAGCUGUGUGGCUCUGUACAGGUCCUUUCACGUCACGGGGGCUGUUUCCUCAUAUGUCAAAUGGACAUCUACAUCCCGGCUGGUAAAGACACAGUGAAGCCACAUCUGGGACACACCCCUCCCAGAAAACUUCCUCGUGAUUUCUGCUAGCAGAUUAGGACUACAGCGUGUGUGGGCAGGGAAGGGAUCUGGCUGGGAGGACAGGCGAAAUGGACAUAGACGUCAGAGAAGGCAGGAAGCAGAGGGGUUUCCCCACCAUGAUGAGGCUGCACAGGCAGGGGAAGAAAGGCCAUGGGGGCUGAGUCACUGGCUGUGUCUAAUCUGCUGCCUUCCCAGCCACUGACAAUGAAGUGACCACAGGCGGAUCACAGGAGAUCACAGGAGGGAGGUGGCCAAACAGGACAAGAAAGGGAGCUGCAGGGACUCUAGAGGAAGUAGCCUGAGAGGCAAGGCUCAGCCCCUGCCCUCAGAGGGACCCUGAGCUGAUGGGGUAGCAGACACAGCUGCUGCCUUCAGUGAGCUCCCAGUCUGACAGGGGAGACAUUCUUUUGUCUCAGGAGAGAAAGGAGCUCUGCCUUCAGGGAACUCCCAAUCUGACAGGGAAGUUUUAUCACUUUCUGCCUUAAGGGAAUUACAACUGUGACUGGGGACUCAGCCUCUGUUCGCAGGGAACCCCAGCUUGAGGUGUCUAUGUCUGAGGGAGCAGGUGCCUGAGUGAGCGCUGUGCAUUUGUGUGUUGACACCCUUCCUGGCUUCCUUCAGACCCUCCAAUCUGAUGGGAGAGACACAGCUCUGCUCUUAAGGAGCUCCUGUAAGAUGGGGGAGACAUAGUCCCCACAUCAGGCGGCCACUAAAAUGAAGGGGGAGACUUAGCUCCUGCCCUCUGUCCUCAGGGAGCCCUGUCUGCCCCCACGGGCACUCAGGUUAAGCAUGCAUGUGUGUGCACAUGGGAAUGCAUGCAGGCCCUGCUCUAGCCCUCUCAGGCACCACUCCCCACCAUGCCCACCUGAGAACUCCUCAAAGUAAGGAAGGAGAAUCCUUGUUCGAGCCCAGGCUAAGGGGGCUUCCACAGAGGGGCUUCUGGGAGCCUAGAAGACAGAGGGUGGGGGAGACAGAAGUGCUACCACAUCUAGGGUGGCUGGGCUCACUGUCCUGAACAGCUGAGCUGCAUCUGCCUUCCUCAUCUCCAACUCCUGAUCCCUGAUACACCCCAGCCUCACAUGUCCGCUGAGACGCGGUACAUGGUAUCUCCCACACGUAUGCGCGGCUCCAGCACAUGGGAGAGGGUGGCUGGGGCUUGGAGCUCAAAGGAGCCUCUUCUUUUCCUCCCCGUGGCCCUCAUGUUGCCUUUCACACACCCACUCUGGGUGAUGGGAGGGGAGUGACCAGUCCACCCCGAGUCACUAUGACUCGGUCUCCCCACCUGGAACCCUCAUACUCGGUUCACAGUCUCCAUGAAGGGACAGUGAGCAGACUGGGAGUCAGCGGGGAGGAGGCCCACAACAAGUCGGGAGCUCCAGUUCACCCACUCAAUUCCUUCCUAGGGCAGGAAACCUUCAGGAGAGCAGAGGAUGGGGCUGGGUGGGAAAAUAACAUGCAAGGGAGGAAGCAGGGAGCACAGGGCAUUUCCCCUCAAGUGGGAGUUCCCCGAGGGCAGGGCUGUGUCUCCCCUCAGACUGGGGCACCCUGAGGACUGGGUUGUGUCUCCCCUUAGACUGGGGCACCCUGAGGACUGGGUUGUGUCUCCCCUUAGACUGGGGCACCCUGAGGACGGGGCUGUGUCUCCCCUCAGACUGGGGCUCCUUGAGUCAGGGCUGCGUCUCCCUCAGACUGGGGGUCCCUGAGUCAGAGCUGCGUCUCCCCUCAGACUGGGGCACCCUGAGGACUGGAUUGUGUCUCCCCUCAGACUGGGGCUCCCUGAGUCAGGGCUGUUUCCCGCCUCAGACUGGGGGUCCCUGAGUCACGGCUGUGUCUCCCCUCAGACUGGGGCUCCCUGAGUCAGAGCUGCAUCUCCCCUCAGACUGGGGGUCCCUGAGUCACGGCUGUGUCUCCCCUCAGACUGGGGGUCCCUGAGUCAGGGCUGUCUCCCCCCUCAGACUGGGGAUCCCUGAGUACAGGGCUGUGUCUCCCUCAGACUGGGGCUCCCUGAGGAUGGGGCUGUGUCUUCCUCAGACUGGGGCACCCUGAGGAUGGGACUGUGUCUCCCCUCAGACUGGGGCUCCCUGAGUCAGGGCUGUCUCCCCCCUCAGACUGGGGCUCCCUGAGUCAGGGCUGUCUCCCCCCUCAGACUGGGGCUCCCUGAGUCAGAGCUGCGUCUUCCCUCAGACUGGGGCACCCUGAGGACCGGAUUGUGUCUCCCCUCAGACUGGGGCUCCCUGAGUCAGGGCUGUCUCCCGCCUCAGACUGGGGCUCCCUGAGUACAGGGCUGUGUCUCCCUCAGACUGGGGCUCCCUGAGGAUGGGACUGCGUCUCUCCUCGGACUGGGGUUCCCUGUGGACAGGGCUGUGUCUCCCUCAGACUGAAUUCCAUGAAGACAGGCACUGUGUCAAUCCCAUCAAACUAGGUCAGAACUAGAUCUCCUUUAGCAUCUAAAACAGGCAACUCAUCCACCAUCCCCAACAUCAUCUGGGGGUUUUCAGACUGGGUGGGGUGGGGCAUCUACUUCCCACCAGGCCACCCUCCUGAGGAAGGACAAUCAUGCUUACUGGCAGGGGCUUCCUCAGUGAGCAGCCUGUUCCCAGUUCACCCACUCACCCCUCUGGGUGGUCUCUCCCACAGUCUAGCCCCAGUCUCUCACGUUAAAUCACCAUGGGUAGCUGGGCAGGCGAGACCCACAGGAUGUGUGGGCAGGGCCUGCCUGGACCUGGUGGGGGGUGUAUAGCUGAGAGCACAGGCAUUUUGUAGCAUGAUCUCAUGCCCACUGCCCUCAGCUAGGGGCUCUUCAGGACCAUUUGAGCAUGGGGAGUGGGCAGACAAGCCUGGGCAGCUAUACCAGUGGCCUGAGGAAGCCAAGCUUGGCAGGUUCCUGCUUCCAUGAGUCCAAAUCAGCACAGGAAGUGGGUCCCAACACCAUUAGCUUUCCCUUAUCCUAUGCUGUAGCCACCUGGAUUAGCAGAGGGAGAGGCCUCCUACCCCAGUGGGUCCCUGUGAGGGGGCAGCCCGACCUUACAGUGUAUACAUUUGGUAGUGAAGGAAGCAGGAAACAGCUGGACAGGCCUGGGAAUCCCUCCCCACUCCCUAGUCACCUUUCAAUACGAGGAGCUGGGCUUUCCCAGCCCUCUAUCCCCUACUCCUCCCUGCCUCCUCUUGACCUCCUGUGCCUUUUUCAGGGAAAUAAAACACAGAGCCAUGUGGAGAUUGGGGCUGGACUUCUGUGCUCUCCUUUUUCCGUUGGCAACCCCAUCUCCAGGCUGGCAGGAUCAGAGUCGGUGCCUCCCACCUAACACUGACAAUUGGGCAUUGCCAUGGCUGAGGGCACCCUAAGAUAUCAACCCCAUUACACAGAUGGGCAGACUGAAGUCUGAGGCUGUCACAGAGUCAGGACAGAUCAUGUCUUGGAGGUGAUGCAGCCAGGCUUGUGGUCAAUACCCACUCUGCCUGAGUCAGGGUAGCUCCUCUCUCGGCCAGACUGUGAGCUCCCUGAGCUCAGGGACUGGUCCCCAGCUUCCUGAAAGGGGUUUGCUGGGUAGGAUUGAAUGAGGGCUUGCUAUGUACUGACCUGUGCUGGUCCUGGGGUGGGGUUCUGUGUCCCCAUCAGCCUAGCCAGUUUAGCUGCAGGGCCUCCUCACCUCUGGACCCUUCCUUGACCACAGGUCUCCCUAGUUAGUUCCUGGAACCCAGACUUUCGGUGCCUGGGGAGGGAGGGUCUAGGGUGGCAUGGGCAGCUGUGCAUCCAGGCCAGAAUGGGCCACCUGGAGAAGUCCCCAGGGCCUGGUGCAGGAGCCCGCUCCCCCAGCUGGCAGAAGGACAGGUGGAAGCCCACCUGCUGUCCCCCGCUUCUGGGUCACAGUCAGUUGGCUGAGCUAGGCCCAGCUUGGGCAGGUUCUCCCACAUCCAGUGCCCCCUCCCCCUCACCCCACCCUGGCCUGAUCCCUUUUUCAAGUACAGUCUUUGCUCCAGCCAGAUGUCUGAGCACAGUCUUGUUCCCAAGAAACCCAUGCCCUGCCCCACAAUCUCUACUCAUCCUGCCCUCUCUCCCUCCUGUCCCCAUAGGAGCCAUCUCCCCAGGGCCACUGGCUCACCACACUUCCUGCAGAGCUUUGACCCUCUAGGAGAGCAAGCCCCUCCCCAGGCCAGGGAAGGGUCUCAGCAGAGGCAGCAGGGAAGGGGCAAGGAUCCAGCUUCCCCAGUAACCUAGCAUGCCUCUGUCUUCCAGCAAGUCACCAAACCACUCUCCUAUCUGUCCCUAUUGUCAGCCUAUCCCAUCCCUCAAGGCAGCAAGUUCUUAGGUUGGCUUCCCACUGUGUGGGCAAACACGCGGCCUCACUCUUACUGGAAGCCAAGACUUGCUCCAACUGGGCUCGGCAGGAGAGAGUUCUCAAGAAGCCCAACCCUCAAAUACAUACUCUGUAACCUAGAUGGAGGCUCUCACAGAACCUGCCAGAGGCAAUCACUAACCCUGCUUUACACACCUAAAGGUAGCUUUUUAAACUUUAAAAAAUUUGUGAUAAAAUACGCAGAACAUUUACCAUUUUAACCACAUUUAAGUGUACAUUUCAGUGGCAUUAAAUACAUUCACAUUACAUACGUUCACAUUACAUAUGUUCACAUUGUUGUGCAACCAUCAACACCAUCCAUCUCCAGAAUUCUUUUCAUUUUACAAAACAGAAACUCUGCUCAUUGAACACUAACUCCCCAUCUCUCCAGCCCCUGGCAACCACCAUUCUACUUUCUGUCUCUAUGAAUCUAACUACCUUAGUUACCUCAUUAAAGUGGAAUUAUACAAUAUUUGUCCUUUUGUGAUUUGCUGAUUUCACUUAGCACAAUGUCCUUAAAGUUCAUCCCUGUUACAGCAUGUGUCACAAUUUUCUUCCUUUUUAAGGCUUAAUAAUAUUCCAUUGUAUGUAUGUACCACAUUUUCUUUCUCCAUUUGGGUAGCUUUUUUUAUUUAUUAACUACUUUUUUUUUUUUUUUUUUGAGACGGAGUCUCGCUCUGUCACCCGGGCUGGAGCACAGUGGCUUGAUCCCGGCUUACUGCAACCUCCGCUACCCAGGUUCAAGCGAUUCUCCUGCCUCAGUCUCCAGAGUUAACUACUUUUUAAAAAAACCAAAGUAAUAUAUUCUCGUGGCAAAAAGUCUGAACAGUUCAGAAACACAUAAAGUGAAAAGUGGACUUUUCCAUCCCUUCUCACUCUGGUCAUGGAAAGCCCUUUCUGGUGACUCUGAAAUUUUAGAGGCAGAAGGGCUAACUGGUUUUUAUCCAUUUUUUACACAUAUAGUGACAUACUCCUCAUCAGUACUUCUCAAACACGAGUAUGCAUCAGAAUCAUACAGAGAACAUGUUAAAACCACAGACUGCUGGGCUCCAGCCCUAGUGUUUCUGAUCCCGUAGUUCUACGGUGGCCCAAGAUUCCAGGUUUCUUUUUUGUUUGUUUUUUCAGACAGGGUCUCUCUCUGUCACCUGGGCUGGAGUGCAGUGGCACCAUCUUGGCUCCCUGAAACCUCCACCUCUCAGGCUCAAGCGAUCCUCCUGCCUCAGCAUCCCUAGUAGCUGGGACUACAGGCUAAUUUUUUGUAGAGAGGUUUUGCCAUGCUGCCCAGGCUGGUCUUGAACUCCUGGGCUCAAGCAAUCCUUCUGCCUUGGCCUCCCAAAGUGCUGGGAUUACAGGCAUGAGCCACUGCAACUGGCUGAAGAUUCUGGAUUUCUAAUAGGCUCCAUGCCCAUGCUGGCAGAGGGCACACCCUUCAUGGAGUAGCACCACCCAAGGAAUGUCUUGCCACUUGCUUUUCUACUUAGUGAAUAUCAACACACAACCUCAACCUCACUCUUUUCAACCACUGCAUACUAUUGGUGUUUGGAGGCAUCAUAACAUAUCCAAUCCGUGCCCUAUUAAUGGACUUAAUGUUGCUUCCAGUUUUUCAGGUUUGGAAGCAAAACUGCAAUGAACACACUUGUAUGUAUACUUUGAACACUUGUGACAUUUAUAACAGUGCAUCUGAUAAAUUCCUAGAUAUGGAACCCUCGAGUCCAUGGUUUGUGAAUUAAUUCUUCUCAUGUAUACUGCCAAUCCCCUUCACAGGUGCAACUGUCCUCCCCCCCAGCUCUGAGGAUGUCUGUGUCCACACAGUGAGGGGUUGCCCAUUUUAGUUGUUGUCAAUCAAAUUGGCGAAAAGAGAAUCUUCUCAUGUCUUCAUUUUGAUUUCUUCUAUUUUGACUGAGGGUGAGCAUUUUCACCUGCUUGUUAACCAUUAGUAUCCCCUUACCGGUUUAUGUGCUUUGCCCAUUUUUCUAUUCGUUUUUAUUUUCCUUAUUGACUUGUAAAAACUCAUCGGUCAUCUAUGUUAAAAAUAUUUUUUCCAGACGGUUGUCUUUAGAAUUCAGGAUAUUACAUUAAAAACACAUUUUUUUUUCAGAGAUGGAGUCUCACUGUGGUGCCCAGGCUGGCCUCAAAUUCCUGGGCUCAAGUUAUCCUCCCACCUCAGCCUCCCAAGGAGCUGGGACUACAGGCAUGUAACACAACACCCUACGUCAUAUUUUAAUACAGCCAAUUUUAAAAAAUUCUUUCCCUUUGUGACUCCUAGGUUUUGUGUCAAACUUUCCCCAAUCCAAGAACAUACACUUUUAGACUUUCAGAUGUUUUCUUCUAGUAAUUUUAUGGUUUCCUUUUUACAUUUAAAUCUUCACUCCAUCGGGAUUUAUUUCAGAAUAAGAGAUGAAGUGGGGAGCUGGAUUUCUUUUUUUUCCCCCUUAACAGCUAACCAGUUGUCCAAUUUGAUUGAAUAAUUCAUCUUUUCUCCUCUGAUCUAAAAUGUCAUUUUAUCAUAUAUUUAAUUUCCAUUUGUUCACGGGUGUGUGUCUGGCCUCUACUCUGCUCCUUUGAUCUGCCUGUCUGUUCUUGUGCCAGUACCCAACUAUUUUAUUAUUGGAGCUUUCUACAACAUUUUAGUAGCACUAGUCGUCCCUUAUAAUACUUCUUUUUCAGGAUUUUCCAAGCUCUUUUUGCAUGUUUAUUUCUCCAGAUGAACUUUAAUAUAAUUUGUCAAGUUCAAAAGAUCUCGUUGUUUUUCACAUCUUCCAACAGAUGUGAUUUUCGGACAUCUCAGCCCACAGCCAAACAGAAACAAGUUGAGAAUAGGGUGGGUUUGGUGGUCUGCCCUGGAGGCAGGCAAAGUGAUGGUAACAGAAGUGAUAGUUUAUACGGAGAGAGUUGAUGAAGUGAUAAAGUACUAUAAAAGUAGACACAAGAACUACGAAAAUGUAGCCUUCAUGGAAUGAGCCGUUGGUGUGGGGCCAAAAAAGGCCUUGGAUUUUCACUGUAUUACAACCAGGAUACUGAUGGACCCUUGUAACCACAACCCUGAGUCAUGAAGACUCACAUGUUCUGUAACCUCUGAUUAAAAGCCCGGAAAGCGUGUAAUAUCCACUAGUGAUUCCUAUCCAAAAUAUCUCUUUUUAAGGUUUCAGAUAUUAAUGUCUGGAAAACUAGUAUGAAAUGGUUCAUUCUUGGAUGGUGACAUAAACAUGACAUGUUACUGGCCUCUUUACAGUUUUCUCAAAGCCCACCUUCAAAUUCCAAGGAGCUGCCAGCUCCGGGAUUUGAAUUCACUCUAUCCAUGGAAACAAAGCUGAGGGAAAUGUCCCCAGACUUUCAGCCAGUUCAAACACAAUAAUAAAAAAAGGUUUACCUCAUACAUGCCUCCAACAUAUGAGGCAUGUUAUAGGCAGAUUAUAUUUUAAUCCUCAACAGCCCCGCUGGGUGAAUGCUGUACUCCCAUUACACAGAAAACUGAGGCUCAGAGGGGUCAAACAACUGGGGCCAGUUUAAGUUAGUACGUGACAAAGAGCUCUCAGCUACCUCCACCUGCACAUUCCACAGACCAGUCCCCUUCAGUUCACUCCCACAGGGAGGUUCAAAACACCACCGACCCUAUUCAGACAUCCCUUUGCAAGGCCCUGUCACCUGUCUUGCCCAAUGCCCACCUAGCCAGGAGAGCCAGGAUGCACAGUGAGGAAGGUGGAAUGAGGUGCCAACGUAGCCCAUCCAGGGAAGGAAGACAGCCCCCCCCCCCCGGCCACCCACUUGCCAGUGGCCCAGGUGGCAGGCCAGCCACUUGCCAAUCCCCUUCCUGAUCAGGGAUUCAGGAAGUGAAGAGAGUGCCCCUGGAAGUCAGGAGACACCUCCAAGAUGAAGGCCCUGCCUGCCAUAGCCUGACACAGCCUCCCUGUACUCCCUGGGUUGUCCCAGGACGCAGACUCUGUGCUUACCAUACCACACCUUUGUCAGUGGUGUGGGCAGGGCCCAGCAGAGUCCUGGACACCCCAGGGAGUAGGAGCUGUGCAGGUAACAUAGGAGGGGGUGAAAGGGAAAUGAACUCCCUUGGGAGUUCCCCAUCCCAGAGGAAAUAAAAGUCAAAGCACUCCUUUGUUUUUUCUUCCCAAGCCCUUAUAAGGGGCUUUAUGGGGCUUGCCUAGGUUUGAGGUGCAGCAGAGGCAGGCGGGUGAGGGCCUCCAGGCUGAGAGAUCCUGGGGCAAAAGUGAAACUAUAUGGUCAUGAACACGGGCAUGUUCUGAACUCUGUGAAACCCUAGCCCAGGACCUGGCUGACUGUACAAUCCGUCACCCGGCACACCGUAACAGAAGACCCUACUACGCGCAGAGGACAGUACUAUUGGGGUGGCAACUGAAAAGGGUCCUGGCUGGAGGCGGGGUUUGCUGGAGGGGUAACAGAGCGUGCGCGGAGUGGAGAGGGUACGGAGGCUCACCGCCCAGCAUCCCCAACCCCGGCGCUCAGAAGAGCAGCGCGCUCCGGAGCUCGGCGCGCGCGAUCAAAGCCGGCGCCGCACGCGCACGCGCGCCCGCAGCCGCUCCCCCGCCCGCGCCGCUCCGGCUCCCGCGCGCGCGCACUUGAGGCCUCCCUUGUGCGUCUCCUCCAUUCGCUACGUGCAGAAUGGUCCGUCGGCAGCAGCUGCAGCGCUGGGUGGGAGGGGGAGGAGGAGGGGAGGGGGAGGCGGCGCCCAGGUCUCGGGGAGGGGCCGCGGCGGCCCUGGAGAUAGAGGGGUGGGGGCGAAGGGGUGGGCCCCCGCAGCGGGGAGGACAGAGGGAGAGUCCGGGUGGGCUCGAUGCUCAGCCUUCCCCCUCCCCCGCUCCCGCUUCUUUCUGCGAGGCCAUUACGGCCAUCUCCCGGCCUGAGCCUCCUGGAACCAAGCCGACCAAGAGGGGUUUCCUCCGUGUUGUCUCGUCCCCAAAACCCAGAAUCCAGACCCAAGAAAGAACCACUCCUGCUGACCCCUCCUCCCGCUACCCGUCCCAACCGCAUUCCCAAGCUUUCGUGGAGGUGACCCAACAGCAAGCACUUCCCCACUCCGCCUUUCAUGGGGUGGGGUCCCUAAGAGGUACUGCAGACUAACUCCUCUUUUCAUCUCUUACCCCACCUGGAGGAAGAGGCAUGGCCAGGAUGGACACCAGAGCACAUUUCCCAGCAUUUCCAAGGGGAAAGGGCAGCAUCUCAGCAUGCAGACUCCAACAUGGCCACAGAAAGGUCGAGUGGCGCAGAGGAGCAGGCUGCUGCCCAGGCCCCUAGGGCCACUUCCAAAGGAGUGUGACCACGACUAGGUUGCUGUGGACUCACUCGCAUUACAGGGCUGCGCCCUAUACACCUGUUUGUAAAGGGUCCUCCUAGAAUGUAAUGGUGAGGGACCACCAAGCGGUGGACCAAGAAUUCCAAACAGACCAGCUCCCUGCCUUGCCAGGAAACCAGAUGUGGCCCAGAUGUCCAUAGCAGUUCCUCCCACAGGGUGGGACACCAGCUAUUCUGUGCAACCCCUCCCAACCCUUCUUCCAGGGUCAGGGAGGAAAGCUGGCAACCUCCGUUGUCCCUUCCCAUUUGGGUUGCUAGAAGGGAGCAACUCACUCAUCCUCCUCUUCCUGCCAAGAGCCACCUGGGCUUACCUCUCCAGCAGCCACCUAGGUUCAACCUGUGGUCUAACCUCAAGCCCUCUGCUGACAGGUUAAGUCAAGAUCGCCGGGAAGGAAGGCGUCCAGUUUCAUUACACACACAGACGUACACACACACCCGACACCGACCCACGCGCCUGGGCUCUGCACAGUGGCUAGACCCCAAAAAGCCGAUUCUCCUGUUCCCUCCGUGGUGGCCUCAGUCUUUUGGCGGCGCCCUCUGCUGGCCACUAGGAAGUGCAGGAAAAAACAGUCUGCCCAUAGACGCUUGGUGGAUCUGGGAAAGGGGACAAGAGGCAGAGAAACAAGUGAAAAGUGGGAGCUGAGAGCAGCGCUGGGCUGGCCACAAACAAGCGAGGCAUGGUGACGCCUUCCUGGAGAGGAUGGCCCAAGCCCAGGUCCCUGGCAUGGUGGGGCAGGGGCCUGAGUCACAGCCUGGCGUGACCCUGCCCAGUCCCCAGGAAUGGCCAGCUCGUCCAGAGGUGAGACCCAGGUCAACAAUCCAUCAGUCUGCCUCCUGCCACCAGGUAUCCUCCCCAUCACGUCCUACACGUGGGGUGGGCCAGGACAGUGCUGGGCAGAGCUAGUGUUGGGCCUGUGCCUGGGGGCCACCAAGGGGGCCCGGAGAAAAGAAUGGAGGGGUUUUCACUUCCUGAGCAGCAGGAGGAGCCAGCUGGGGUUAAAGACAGGAGGGACUGGUUGGGCCUACAGGCAUUUGGAGUCUCUCCCUGCCUGCUGGGUGAGGGAGGCAGCAGGUGCCAAGAACUGCUAGCUUCUAGGACCUGACCCUCAAGUUGCUUCUCCUGCUGAGGGGCUUCUAGGGUCACCCUCAGGGCCUUGACAUCUGCACACAUCUGCACAGGCCCUUCACCAGGGACUUAACCUCCAAAGGCAGCUCCUGCUCCCAGCCUUCACAGGCCCCCCUAGGGCCCAAGUCCCCAGACCCAACCUCAGUCUGCAAGCUGGCCAAGUCAGAGGUCCUGGCUGCCUGGACCACUCCCAAGCAGUAAAUGGCACUGUGGGCUUCCUCCAUCCUGUCUUCCCCGCCCCACUUCAUUGAUUCACUGACUUCCAACUUACUGGUCAGGCCCCCUUCCAGACCCUGCCUGGAUGAAGAGGACUCCCAGAAGCAGUGAUUGAAGGCCUAGGAGGAUACAGAGAGCCAGGUGCUUUAAUUGGAGCAGGUGCCCCAUGAAGAAUCUGUUGAAUUGUGAUUUGACAUCAGCAUGGGAAGGAGAAUUCCGAAGGCAGACAAAUGAGCCUUUGCUCCCUCCUCUGCCUGCUGGCACGGUGCCCACCAGUCUGAGUUCUGUCCUGCACCUUCCUGCAGAAAUGAAGCAGCCACUCUGGCAGCCUUGGGUCCCCUCCAGGCUCAUCCACUCUGUGGUGGGGUGUCCUCCUCCUUUUCUCCCUUACAGCUCCUUUCCCUUUUUCUGUGCUGCCUUCACUUCAAGCAUGAGCUGAGGGUGACUCCUGGUGGCCAUUCAUAUAACUGCAGAAUCCUGACCAUUGUCACCGCCACCUGGAAGUGCAUGAAGUCGAGUGUGCAAGGAAGCCAUUCUUCACACUUUCCCUACACCUCCCAACUCCCUGUCAGGGCCCUGGGGAGCCUCAGGGGUGGCCACUCCCCGGGGACUCCACCCUCCGAAGUUCCACCUCUAAGGGCUUCACUUGCCUGAUGGGUGGGGACGAUCAAGGAGGCCUCUGCCCAGAUCCUGCAGCACCAGGCCUGCCCCAGGCAAAAAGCAGGACAGUGGCUACUCUUCCCUCAAGUGCCACUGAACACUUUGCAGGCAUCAUUUUGUCCAAUUCUUAUCACUGGAGCCCAUUAUCACAAAGAAGAAACCAAGGUUAAGCAACUUGCCAAGGGUCACACAGCUCCUCAGUGCCCAAAUGGUGAAAUGAAUACAGGUGACACUCAGUGGGACACCAGACCAGCCCCUGGGGGACAGAAGAGGCCUAUAGGAAGGAGCCUGCCAUGGGGUUAGAAGCCUCAGAUUCUGACCCGACCUUGCCCCAACUAGUGGGGUGGCCUCCAUCAAGGGCCUCUGCUCACUGAGCCUCAGCCUCCUCGAUGGCAUCAUGGGGCGGAGGACAGAGCAGGAUUCUCAGAUUGGCUGUACAUGGGAAUCACUGGGAGGAUUUUUCAAAUACCCAUGUUUGCCCAGCCCUGACUAAGGAAAUCAAAAUUGGUAGGGGUUGGCUAAGACAAAGGUAAUUUUAAGAAAAUAUUUCUAGGUGAUUCUAUAGGCAGCCAGGGUUGAGAAUGGGUCCUCUAGGAGUUCCCCAUCUUCAGACUUCCCAGCCCUCUAGAGGUCAGCUCCCCAGGGCUCCCCUCUGUCCUAAGGGCUCUCCAGAUAAACUUUUUUUUUUUUUUGAGACGGAGUCUCGCUCUGUUGCCCAGGCUGGAGUGCAGUAGCGCAAUCUCAGCUCACUGCAAGCUCCGCCUCCCGGGUUCACGCCAUUCUCCUCCCUCAGCCUCCUGAGUAGCUGAGACUACAGGUGCCUGCCACCACACGUGGCUAAUUUUUUUUGUUUUUUUUUAGUAGAGGCGGGGUCUCACCGUGUUAGCCAGGAUGGUCUCAAUCUCUUGACCUCAUGAUCCGCCUGCCUCAGCCUUCCAAAGUGCUGGGAUUACAGGCGUGAGCCACCGCACCCGGCCCAGAGAAACUAUCUUAGCUUGUCUACCCAGACCCACAAGAAGCUGCCUCCCAACCACCCAAGGGGACACAGGCCCAUCAACCCUUUCCAGAGGGGGCACAGUAGGCUUGAGACUCUUGAGUCUCUGACCCCCAGCCUGGCCUCUGGGGUGGGGGGAGAGAAAGUCAUAGGGAGCUUAACCUCAACAGGAUGAAGGCGCCAUAAUUAGGGUCAGGCGGUUGGCUCAGCCUGCGGAAAUCCCCAGCUUAGUAGGGAUGGGGAGUGGCACUGCAGCCUGCGGGAGGGUUCAGGGCAGAAGUGAGGGGGCAGGGGGAGCCCAGGCACAUGGAAACCCAGGACCUAGGCCCCAAUUGCAUCCUGAGAGGGCCCACUGGGGGCUUCUCAACACAGUUCACUCCCUCCCUGGGGUUGCUGAACCCCAGGGAGGGAGGGAAAGGCUGACCAGCCCCCCAACCCCAGAGACCCUACUGCUCCCUCAGGCUGGGGUGCAUCAGGAUCAUCCCCCUACCCCAGCCUUUGUCAGGAGGAGGAGGGCACCGGUGGGAAAAGGCUACGUGAGUGUUCCCAGGGCGACCCAGGCUUUUCUCCUGACUGUAAUCCUCAGGCCUUGAGAGAGGGAUCGCUUUCCACUGUGGAAUGUAACAAAGGGGACAAAAUGGGGCAGGGGAGGGGGGCAGAAGCCAGGGAGGGAAGCUUGCAGGGUGGUACUUUUAGCCCCCAAAAGGCCCUCCAGGAGGCAGCUGCACAGAGAGAACCCCCCUGCCCCCAUGACUCCCUGAGCCUGUCAUCCAGCUCACCCCAGGGCACAGGGUCUCAUCCUGGGUUGUCCAGGUGUCCCCCCGCAGACUCCUGCCAUGAAUCCCAGUGCAGGGGGAUUUGGAUGAUCACCUUUGCCAGCCACUCAUUUUGCAGGGGAGGAAAUAUUCCAAGAGAUGAAAACUAGCCAAGACCACGCAGCACCAGAACCACUCCCAGAAGCCCCGGCUUCCCCAGAGACUGCUUCAGUGAGCCGGCAAAAACUGAAGCCUGCAGCCUCAGGAGUUCCCACACACACCUAGGCCAGAAUCCCUCUGCCCCGCAGCAGGACACCCCUCCCUCUUGCCCUCCAGGGUCAUGGGCUAGACAUGGCAAGGUAAGCAGAAGGCAGAUGCAUACUAGUCCACACAAGCUUGUGACGGCUGGGACUAGGGGCCAACCUAGUGGCUCCCACGUUGAGAAUCAACGCCAAUUCCAGGAAGCCUUCCCGGCUAACCCCCAAAAAGCUGGCAAUACUUCCCUCCCACAACACAGCCUUGGCUCUCGAAGGCUGUCCUCUCCCCCAGCCUCACUCUGACUCAUCAUGUAGGUCCCGCAUGGGCCUCAGUUCUCCUGGCCAUGGGCUCUCCCCAUACCUUAACCUGGGAACCGUUGUGGGCAGGACCAUGUGGGACAAAAAGGUCCUGUGCCCAACCCAGCACCAAUCACAGGGAGGCCUGGGGAUAAGCAGGGGCUCUUGGAAAGGGGGCAGAACUCAGCUCAAGUCACAGAACCUGGGAAGGACCUUCAGUGGAAAGCCGCUUCAAAUGUCAUCUGGGAUGAGCAUGGUGGCUCACACCUGUCGUCUCAACACUUUGGUGAAACUGAGGCUGGAGGAUUGCUCAAGGCCAGGAGUCGAAGACCAGCCUGGGCAACAUAGCAAAACCUUGUCUCUCUGUGUAUUUUUUUAAUAUUAAAAAAAAAAAAUUUAAGGUCAUCUGGUCCAGUCCCUCGUGCCUCCCAGUUGGGAGGCACUGAACUUCUCAACACUGCAGAAACAGGCAUCUCUUCAUAUAUUUAGUCAUUCAGUCAUCCAUCCAAUGAACCUUGCCCAACUAUCUUCUACAUCUCCGCAGCCCAGGCAACCCAAUCCAUUCUCAAGGCACAGACUAAAUCCUUACCAAAUAGAGUCAAGGGUCCAUCCAUUUCCUCUCCUGGGCCUAACAUGGUGCUAAGUGGAAGUAAAAGGUGCUGAUCAGCAACGGCCACCCACUUUUAUGUUGCACGGUGGCAUUCUCACCUGGCUUGCACAUCACCAGGUGAUGUUCAUUUCAGACUCAGCCACCAUUCCAGACAGGUUGUCCCUCACUGGCAGAUGGGAAGCUGAGGCUGAGCAGGUGAAAUGGUCUUGCAGCUGGAAGAAAGGUAGGGCCAGGACUUGGCCCAGGCAGCUAAGCUCCCAGCCCCAGAUUCAUUUUACACACCCACUCCCAGCCCUCCACCAGCUUGGGUUUCAUGUGGAAACAGGAUUUCCCCCGGGGGAAUGAAAAUUUGAUUUUGGCCCCUAAUUAUAAAAAUAAUAACAGUGAAGAUGGAUCAGAGGCCUGCUGGUCUCAGUGCUGUGCUGAUUUUGCUAAAUGCACAGGUGUCAAGUGUUGCCCACAGAACCCCCCACCCCUCCUCGGGGCCAGGCUCACAAUGCCCUUGGCUGGCACAGCUGCACAUGCAGACACACACGCACGCACACACAUGCAUGCAUGAGUCCCUGCACGUCCCAGGAGAUGUGUCCCACCCCCUUCAUUCCCCUCUGAUAACCCAGCAGCUUCCAGCAGGACAGACACGUACCCUUCAGGCUGGCCAUGUCAGGCACGUGCCAGACCAGCUGCCAGGGCCCAGAACCUCAGGCCUGCUGGGCUCUAGAAGGUGACUUUCUCCAUAGCUGACCCUGUUCAACCUCAGGAAGGAUGAUAACUCUCCGGGAUGUGAGGGAUGUGAGACCCCACCCAAACCCUCUGCGGAGUCAGUGUCCAUGCAAGGCUUUGACUAAGACCUUGCUGAGGCCUGGAGAACUCGCGUGCUUCCUCUAAAGCCCAGACCGAAGACACCUCCUCUGGAAAGCCUACGCUGACCGGUGAUGGCUGUCCUGCCAGAUGGCCAAGCUGCAUUCUGCCAGGACAGGCUCAUACCCUUCGGGCUGGCCAUGUCGGGACGUGCCAGACCAGCUGCCAGGGCCUGGGGCCUCUUUUGAGGCUUUGACUUGGCCCCCACCCUGGUUCGUGGACCUGUUAUUUCCCCAUGCUGAGCUUCAAGGUUCUGAGGCCAGAGACAGGGUCCUAGUCAAGUUUGAGGCCUCAGAUCCAACACCAUGACCCAGCCCAGUGCUUUUGUGCGUGGAAUGAAGGAAUCCUGACCAUGCUGGGCUGAGACCUGCCAGGGCAAGGGCCCCAGGAGUAGGCACAGGGCCCUGGGGCAUAGCCAUCCUGCCCUGGCCUAUCCCUGCCCCAUGCCUGAGCCCUAUGCUAAGAGCAAGUUCCUGUUGCAAGCUGUACCCUGUCCCAGACACGUGGCAUUUACCAAAAGGGCAGAGACAGUGAGAAGGGCCUCCCCUGUGCCAUCCACUCACAAAGGGGCUGGAAAGGCCAGCAAGAAGGAGAGGAGUCAUAUUUCAAAGGGCUCUGAAGAUGUCACAAUGACGGCAAUGCUCACCACCUCAAACCGCCCAAGGAGCCAUAUCCAGACUAGACAAUAUAAGAAACAGCUGCAGAGCAGCCAGAGGACAGCAACCCUACCCCAGAAAUGGACAUGAGAGAUAAACAGACAAUUAAACAAUUGAGGCCAGGAGUUCGAGACCAGACUGGGCAACAUAGUGAGAAUCUGCCUCUUUAAAAAAAUGUUAAAAUUAGCUGGGCAAGGUAGGGUAGUGUGUGCCUAUAGUCCUAACUACUGAGGAGACUGAGGUGGGAGGAUCACUUGAGCAGAAGUUGAAGGCUACAGUGAGCUAUGAUCACACCAUAGCACUCCAGCCUGGGUGACAGAGUGAGAUCCUGUCUCAAAAAAAAAAAAAAAAAAAAGAAAAGAAAAGAUGCUGAAAAUCAUUAUACAUCACUCUACCUCUAGUAGAUGGGAAAAAUUCGAAAGCUGGAUAAAGCCCAGCAUUGGUGGGGAUGUGAGUGACAGCCCCAUCCCCACAGGGCAUGUACUAGGGGAAUUUGGCAGCUCAUUCAUAGAGUGGGUGGACAGGAAAAUGUGUGGCUGCACAUCAUAGGGUUCCAUGUAGCAGUUGGAAGCAACAAGGCUAGAUUUUAUUUUGAUUGAUUGAUUGACUGCACUCCGUCACCCAGGCUGGAGUGCAGUAGCAUAAUCAUAGCUCACUGCAGCCUCCAACUCCUGGGCUUAAGUGAUCCUCCCGCCUCAGCCUCUCAAGUAGCUGGGACUACAGUUGUACAUCACCAUGCCCAGCUCAAGGCUAGAUUUUAUACAGUGUUGACUCAAUGAGAUCUAUAACACAAUGACAUUUAUCAAAGUAAAAAGAAAAAUACGUGCUUACAAAAGAGUAAUGCCCACCUGCAGGAACCAUACAAACAAAGGCAUCAAAGACAGUAAAAUGGGGAAACAAAAGAAGGGUGUGAGGAAGGGAGGAAAGGAAUAAACACCAAACGAGAAAGGUCAGUGAUGCCAGUGAGCCUGCCAUGGCCUGAGUAACACUAGCCACACCCCCGGUCCACAAUGAGGACCACAUCUGAGGUCCACAGGGAGGAACAGUCCCCAAGGUCCUCAGCGCAGGCUCAGGUGGAGCCAGGAGCCGCUUCCAUGAGGGUCAGAUCUGGGCCUAACCUCAGAGCUUGCCCCUCCCCGCACCCUCCACAGCAGAGGAGGCUCUUGGCCAAAGUCAAGCUGCUGUACACGCAGGGUCGCACCCACCUUGGGCCCCUUUUAUGCCCUGGAAGUGGAAGAGGACAGACCUCAAACUAGAGCAGUGAUUCUGCCCUGAGCUGGGUGCCAGGAGAAAAUGGGAAGCAAGUCCUCACUCUUACAAAAGUUCCUGGGAGGUCAGGCGCAGUGGCUCAUGCCUGUAAUCCCAGCACUUUUGGGGGCAAAGGCAAGAGGAUUGCUUGAGGCCAGGAGCUCAAGACCAGCCUGGCCAGCAUAUUGAGACCCCCAUCUCUAAAAACAUUUUUUUUUUAAUUAGCUGGAUAUGGUGGCUUGCGUCUGUAGUCUCAGUUACUCAGGAGGCUGAGGCAGGAGGUUGAUUUGAGCCCAGGAGGUCCAGGCUGCAGUGAGCUAUGAUCACACCACUGCACUCCAGCCUGUGUGACAGAGUAAGACCCUGUCUCAACUUUUUAAAAAAAAAUUCCUGGAAUUCAGGUAAUUUUUUUUUUCUUUAAGGAGAGUCUUUAUCUUUAGACACACAUUUAGAAAAAUCUGUGAAAUGAUAUAAUGUUAUAAAUGUGCUUCAAAAUCUAGGUGUGGUGGCAGGGGAGAGGGGGCAAGUAGGUGGAUGAAACCAGCUUGGUGAUAAAUUGAUAGCUGCUGAGUCUGGGAAUGAGUGCGUGGGGUUCAUUAUACCUUAUUCUCUAUUUGUGCACGUGUUUCAGAGUUUCCAUAAUAAAAACUUCAAAAAGAAAAACUUCCCAGUAAGAAACUCUCCCAUGUGAGGGGACUAGCCCCUGACCUCAGGGAACCCCACCCAGUCUGCCAGGGGACACACAACCCCUGCCCUGCAUCUUCUUAGCCUGCCUCGGCUGGCCAGGGGCCGCAUUGUAGGACACAGCCAUGGGGGUCCUGACAAAUGCUCAGCCUCGGACCUGGCCUUAUCACUGAAGCCAAGGGUCAGGCACUGGAGCCACAUCUGAGCAGACCUGGUUCUGGUUCCAGCUCCACCUUGCACGUAGCCUGAGGCACCUCACCUGAACCACACCUGCCUGGAUCCAAGUCCUGGGUCAUUAUCAGUGAGAAAGUCCUCCUGCUCUUACUGUGGCUGCUCCUCUCACUGCCUCUGCCUCCACGUCUGUAUGAUGAGGACUGGAAUCACCAGGAGCCUCUGACUCAGGAGAGCACCAGGAAGCCUGCGUGGGCCAGAUGCAAGCCAGGAAGGACAGGGCUGGGGAAGAAGGAGGCAGAAGCCUCUAUCCUGCCCUCCCGGAACACAGAGGUAUCCAGAUGGGGAAACCUAGGCAAAGAGAGGGUAAGUAACUUUCCCAAAGUCACUCAGCUUGCACACAGCAGAGCUAGGAUUUGGCCCCAGCCAGCCUGCCUUGAGUUUGUGCUCUUACCCACCCCAGCGCACUCUCAGACAGCAUGGCCUGGCUUUUCCUGAGCCAGCGCUUCUGAUUCCCCCUGGGGUAUAACAGCUGAUACCCUGUUUAUACCACAACACCUGGGAUGGGAGCUUCACCCAGGGGUGGCAGUGCUAGUACCCGGGCAGCACUCCCACCUUGUCUCUUACUCGGGAAAGCAGAGCAGAAGGUAAGCGGGAAUAACGCUAUCAGAGGGAUGGGUUUUUAACUCAUUAUUUUCUCUUCUUCUUUUUUGUUGUUGUUGUUGAGAUAGGGUGUCACUCCCAUCACCCAGGCUGGAGUGCAAUGCCACAAUCUUGGCUUACUGCAACCUCCGACUCCUGGGAUCAAGUGGUUCUCCUGCCUCAGCCUUCUGAGUAGCUGGGACUACAGGUGCAUGCCACUGCACCUGGCUAAUUUUUGUAUUUUUUGUAGAGAUGGGGUUUCUCCAUGUUGCUCAGGCUGGUCUCAAACUCCUGGCCUCAAGCAAUCCGCCUGCCUCUGCCUCCCAAAGUGCUGGGAUUACAGGCAUGAGCCACCGUGCCCAGCCUCCUUCUUCAUUUAAAUCACUCAUAAAAAGUUAACCAAGAUCUGGGCCAAGUGCAGUGGCUCAAAAAUAUAUAUACAAAAAAAAUUAGCAGGGCAUCGUGGCACACUUGUGGUCCCAGCUACUCAGGAGGCUGAGGUGGGAGGAUUGCUUGAGCCAGGGAGGCAGAGGUUGCAGUGAGCCGAGAUUGUGCCACUGUACUCCAGCCACUCCAGCCUAGGCAACAGAGUGAGACCCUGUCUCAAAAAAACAAAAGAAAGUUAUCCAAGAUCGGCAACAAAGUAGUCAUGAAACACCCUUACAACCAGUCACAGCAAGGCCCUGGAGAAUCUCUUUGGUCUACUGAAUGCAAGCAGCUGGGGCAUCCGCUCCCAGCUGAAACAUGCUGAAAGAGGAGUGGAUAAGAGCACAGGUCUCAGGGUGGGUGCUGCCACUUCCAAGCUGUAAAACCCUGGACCACAGAUUAGUUCACCUCUCUGGGCCUCAGUUUUCCCAUCCGUAAAGUGGGGUGAUAAUAGCAUCUCCUUGCAAAGUUGUUAGAAGUUUGUUUUUUGUUUUUUGUUUUGCUUUUUUUUUUGUUUUCCUGCCUCAGGUUUAUUUGUACAAAUGGCAGAGGAGGACACCAGCCCCAUGCAGAUGGCAGCCCAGGGGGGUCAUACUAGUCCUUCUGUCCUUAUGUUGGCGGACAGAGAUCUCUACUCUGAAACCUUUGUAGGGGCCUGGACAGCUUUGGGAGCCUGAG